rnacentral:rRNA from 1 species
AGACCCUAUUGAACUUAACUGUAGUUAAACUGGGSCAGUAAAUUAAUUAUUAUUUUAAUAAAAUAUUAUAUAUAAAUAUCUAAUAAAAUUAAAUAAUUAAGUUACCAUAGGGAUAACAGCGUAAUAAUUUUCUAAAGAUCUUAUUUAAAAUAUAGAUUACGACCUCGAUGUUGAAUUAAUAACCUAAUUAAGGCAAACUUAAAAAAGGAAGUCUGUUCGACUUUUAAAAAAUUACAUGAUUUGAGUUCAGACCGGUGUAAGCCAGGUCGGUUUCUAUCUUCUAAAAAAUUUUUUACAGUACGAAAGGACCUAAAA